UGGGGAAUUUUGGACAAUGGGGGAAAUCCUGAUCCAGCCAUCCCGCGUGUGCGAUGAAGGCCUUCGGGUUGUAAAGCACUUUUGGCAGGAAAGAAACGUCGCGGGUUAAUACCCCGCGAAACUGACGGUACCUGCAGAAUAAGCACCGGCUAACUACGUGCCAGCAGCCGCGGUAAUACGUAGGGUGCAAGCGUUAAUCGGAAUUACUGGGCGUAAAGCGUGCGCAGGCGGUUCGGAAAGAAAGAUGUGAAAUCCCAGGGCUUAACUUUGGAACUGCAUUUUUAACUACCGGGCUAGAGUGUGUCAGAGGGAGGUGGAAUUCCGCGUGUAGCAGUGAAAUGCGUAGAUAUGCGGAGGAACACCGAUGGCGAAGGCAGCCUCCUGGGAUAACACUGACGCUCAUGCACGAAAGCGUGGGGAGCAAACAGGAUUAGAUACCCUGGUAGUCCACGCCCUAAACGAUGUCAACUAGCUGUUGGGGCCUUCGGGCCUUGGUAGCGCAGCUAACGCGUGAAGUUGACCGCCUGGGGAGUACGGUCGCAAGAUUAAAACUUAAAUGAAUU
rnacentral:rRNA from 1 species